rnacentral:rRNA from 1 species
UACGUAGGGGGCGAGCGUUGUCCGGAUUUAUUGGGCGUAAAGAGCGUGUAGGCGGCCAGGUAGGUCUGCUGUGAAAACUCGAGGCUCAACCUCGAGACGUCGGCGGAAACCAUCUGGCUAGAGUCCGGAAGAGGAGAGUGGAAUUCCUGGUGUAGCGGUGAAAUGCGCAGAUAUCAGGAAGAACACCAGUGGCGAAGGCGGCUCACUGGCCCGAUACUGACGCUGAGGUGCGAAAGCGUGGGGAGCAAACAGG